UCUGCUGCUCACUCUUUGAAGCAAUCACAUGGUUCCUUCCGGGACAAGUCACUUGAAACAAUUCGUUUGCUUUGCUAACCACUAAAGAGUAAAAGCUAAAUACCCCAAAGCAAGGGCAAAACGACUUCAGAAUUUUUCUCUAUAGUUCACAAAGACAUAAAAUGGUAAUAGGUUAGCUAUUGCAAUGGAAAGCAAAAAAUUGUCAAAAGCAGAGUUAUAAUGAGAAAUUUGUGAAGUUCUAACUUGUAAUUCACAAUAGCAAAUCCAAUGGGAAAACAAAAUGUCGCUUUUCAGUCUUAUAAAGUGAUCAGAUCUUGGUAAAAAGAUUUUGUGAGGUCUAGUUCAGUUACCACAAGUGGAAUGAAGCAAAUCUAUGGG